rnacentral:rRNA from 1 species
AGGAUUCCCCUAGUAAUGGCGAAUGAAGCGGGAACAGCUCAAAUUUGAAAUCUGCGUCGCCUGCGACGCCGAAUUGUAGUUUCUAGAAGCACUUUCUAGGCGGGCCCGGGGCCGUCCAAGUUGCUUGGAACAGCACGUCAUAGAGGGUGACAACCCCGUCUGUGGCGGCGCCGGCCGCUGACGAUGUGUUUUCGACGAGUCGGGUUGUUUGGGAAUGCAGCCCAAAAUGGGUGGUAAACUCCAUCUAAAGCUAAAUAGUGGCACGAGACCGAUAGCGAACAAGUACCGUGAGGGAAAGAUGAAAAGCACUUUGAAAAGAGAGUUAAAAAGUACGUGAAACCGUUAAAAGGGAAACGGAUGGGGUUAGCAAUGCGCUCCGCGAGAUUCAGCCGGGCGGCGUGCCGGUCGGGCGGUUUGCGGAUCUGAAUGGACCGCGGCCGUCUGGUUCGACGCGUCGACCGUCGCACUUCUCGCGAGCGCGCGCCAACGUCGGUUGGCACUGGGUCUUAAGGUCGUGGGCAAGGUAGGUUCGGCCCCUCGGGGAAGAGCUGUUAUAGGCCCGCGUCGUCUGGCCCGGAGCCGACCGAGGUGCCGCGGCGCAUGCCUCCUUCGGGUUGGCUAGGGUCCCGUCUCUCCGUCCGGUAGUCGACUGUGGUGGACUGCGUGCAGUGCGCUGCGACCGCUGCCGGUCGCGGGGUCGGUGACCUCGUACCAUGCGCCCAGGACGUUGGCGGUCAAAUGGCCUCAUUCGACCCGUCUUGAAACACGGACCAAGGAGUCUAACAUGUGCGCGAGUCUUUGAGUGAAGGAAACUCGCAGGCGGAAUGAAAGUGAAGGCGGCUUCGGCCGCCGAGGUGAGAGCCCGUCCUCCGGGGUGGGUGCAUCAUCGACCGACCUAUUCUGCUCUCAGGAAGGUUUGAGUAAGAGCGCAUCUGUUGGGACCCGAAAGAUGGUGAACUAUGCCUGAAUAGGGUGAAGCCAGAGGAAACUCUGGUGGAGGCUCGUAGCGAUUCUGACGUGCAAAUCGAUCGUCAAAUUUGGGUAUAGGGGCGAAAGACUAAUCGAACCAUCUAGUAGCUGGUUCCCUCCGAAGUUUCCCUCAGGAUAGCUGGAACUCAUGGCAGUUUUAUCGGGUAAAGCGAAUGAUUAGAGGUCUUGGGAUUAAAACAAUCUUAACCUAUUCUCAAACUUUAAAUUGGUAAGAAGUCCGACUUGCUCAACUGAAGCCGGACGCUCGAAUGCGAGUUCCUAGUGGGCCAUUUUUGGUAAGCAGAACUGGCGAUGCGGGAUGAACCGAACGCGCGGUUAAGGUGCCGAAGUCGACGCUCAUCAGACACCACAAAAGGUGUUGGUUGCUCCAGACAGCAGGACGGUGGCCAUGGAAGUCGGAAUCCGCCAAGGAGUGUGUAACAACUCACCUGCCGAAGCAACUAGCCCUGAAAAUGGAUGGCGCUCAAGCGUCGCACCUAUACCGUGCCGUCGGGGCGAAGGCCAAGCCUCGACGAGUAGGAGGGCGUGGGGGUCGUGACGCAGCCUCUGGCGCGAGCCUGGGUGAAACGGCCUCUAGUGCAGAUCUUGGUGGUAGUAGCAAAUAUUCAAAUGAGAGCUUUGAAGACCGAAGUGGAGAAAGGUUCCAUGUGAACAGCAGUUGGACAUGGGUUAGUCGAUCCUAAGAGAUAGGGAAAUUCCGUUUUCAAGUGCCCCAUCUCGGGCCGUCUAUCGAAAGGGAAUCGGGUUAAUAUUCCCGAACCGGAACACGGAUAGGGCCGCCUUCGUGGCGGCGGGUGCGGUGACGCAAAGGAACCCGGAGACGCCUGCGGGAGCCCUGGGAAGAGUUCUCUUUUCUUUUUAACGGACUUUCACCCUGAAAUCAGCUUGCCUGGAGCUAGGGUUCAAUGUCCGGUAAAGCACCACACUUCUUGUGGUGUCCGGUGCGCUCCCGACGGCCCUUGAAAAUCCGGGGGAGACGGUGAUUCUCGUGUCCGGUCGUACUCAUAACCGCAGCAGGUCUCCGAGGUGAGCAGCCUCUGGUUGAUAGAACAAUGUAGGUAAGGGAAGUCGGCAAAAUAGAUCCGUAAC